UUGCUGGGUGGGUGGUCCUUCCCUGGGUUUUGUUUGCAGGUGAGAUUGGCCCCGCCUUCCCAAUGGCGUCUCUCCCAGAGCUCGAUCUUCCUGGUUGGGGUCAAGCUGGUGUAUUUGCCGCCUAGCCCUCUAGUCAAGGGCUUCAGUUUGAGCUCUGUGGAGGUGGGGCCUGCCAGGCCUUAUGGUCUGUUUCCCUGCUUUCAACUCUGCCUCCCUCUGUGGGAAGGUCCGUCCUGCUGGCUUUAGUCCCAACUCCCACCCAGGUCCCUGCUACAAUUUGCCACGCCCGGCGGUAGCCGCUGCUCAGCUUUGCAUGGAUAAACCGCGGCGCCCCACAGUCUGGCAGGGCCCCCGUGGACCGUGGGUCGCAGGAGAGAUGAGGACACACAUUGAAGGUAGCAGCACCACAGGAUGGAAGCCAUAGGAAAGCUGUUCAACUGACAAGAGCUUUGUCUUCCCGACUGAUUCUGAACUCCCAGGAAUAUGAAAACGCAGUGACAUUACUUAGCACCUGAAGCCCCAGCAGUCACAGGGAUACUGUGCAGUCCUGCAGGUUUUGGGGUACAUGUGAAGAACAUUCAAGAUUGUUGCAUAGAGACAAGUUCUUGCUAUGUUGUCUAGCCUAGCCUCAAAUUCCUGGAUUCAAGCAAUCCUCCUUCUAUAGGUAUGAGCCACUGUGCCUGGCUAGCAUCCAGUUUUAGGCCUAACGUAAGUUGUUUGAAACCCAGUUGUAUCCUGUCACCUUUGACCUACUUAAACUUCCCUCCCUGUGUGAUUUUUUGUGAUAUGCUCCACUUGUUCCUCAUCCAGCUGACCCCAAACCCAAUAUGCUCCACAACUACUGAUCAUGAUAAAAACCUAAUAGUGUCAGAAUCAUAGAAGUAAGUUCCUGCUUCCUGUUUUCUUUAAACUAGUCGAUCCACAGCCCCCAUGGGAAAGCCUAAAGGGUGGUGCAUACAGACCUAAUAAAGACAGUCCCCAGGUGCUUGCUCUCUCUUGCUUGCCACUUGCUGGCUGCACUUCCUGCCACCUCCAGGCUUCCUGUUGGCGCCCCUCAUCUGUCUGAGACCUGUGAGUAAUACAUGUCUGUUUCAUGCAUUUUAGUUUCACUUCCUCACUGUGUCUCCUCUGACACACGUCUGAACCUAACCUUUCCCCAACCCCUUUCAGAGCUUUCCUGGAUAGUGGCUAUCCUGGCUUAUGGCCAUUCUCAAGAGAAGAAACCUCAAGACCAAAUUAGUAAAAACCCUAACAAUGGAACCACCCCACAGGGUGAACACAGUACCCCCUUUCUUAGAGUUAUCAUGAAGAUUAAUGAUUUACCCAUGUAAAGAAAUGAAUGCUGUGUCUGGCUGAUAGAAACCAAAUCAAAAAUAUUUGAAUUAUGAUUAACCAUUAUGUUAUUAUUUAAUAUAUUAAUUAUGAUUGUUAACUAUCAACAUUAUUAUUGAACUGUAGUAGUUAUGCAUGUGUCAUACCUUUAGUAUGAUCUCUUUGAGUCUUUUAUUGUCUUAUCAUGCAUUGUGUGUCAGAUUCCCAAUUAUAAAAUUUACGGACAUGGGAAUAAAGUACUCUAAAACACAGACUUUUUGUUUAAUUAUAAAAAUGAUUUUUUUCUGAAUUUUUAUCAUUAUUGCAUUGGGAAAGAUUAUGAACACUUGCUACAGAUAUUUUCUGUAAUAAUUCAGUCUAAGGAAAUACAUGGCAAGUGAGAAGAAAUAUAUUCUAAUUCAAAGAUGGCAUAGUUAUGAAUUAAACACAAGUUCAGAUUAUUGACAGAUAAGGUAUAUUAUCUAUAUUAGUAGUCACAUUCCAUUAGACAUCACCUUUAUUUCAUAUUACAUAUUUAGAAUUUUCAAAUACCUAGUGCUUUGACAUUGCAGAAAUACUCUAGCAUUUUUGAGGAUUUUGACGCUUCAUUUUAAAUGUACUUA